GACGAACGCUGGCUGCGUGCCUAAUACAUGCAAGUAGGACGCAGUUUCGAACGGGUGAGUAACGCGUAGGUAACUACCUAUCAGAGGGGGAUAACUAUUGGAAACGAUAGCUAAUACCGCAUACUAGUAGAUGGACCGGCGUUGUAUUAGCUCGUAGGUAGGGUAAUGGCCUACCGAGUCAACGAUACAUAGCCGACCGGAGAGGGUGAUCGGACACACGGGGACUGAGACACGGCCCAGACUCCUACGGGAGGGAGCAGUAAGGAAUCUUCGGAAAUGGGGGGAACCCUGACCGAGCAACGCCGCUGGAGUGAAGAAGGGUUUCGGAUCGUAAAGAUCUGUUGUUAAGGAAGCGGUACUUAACCAGAAAGGGACGGCUAACUACGUGCCAGCCGCCGCGGUAAUAC
rnacentral:rRNA from 1 species